rnacentral:rRNA from 1 species
UAGGGAAUCUUCCACAAUGGACGCAAGUCUGAUGGAGCAACGCCGCGUGAGUGAAGAAGGUUUUCGGAUCGUAAAGCUCUGUUGUUGGUGAAGAAGGAUAGAGGCAGUAACUGGUCUUUAUUUGACGGUAAUCAACCAGAAAGUCACGGCUAACUACGUGCCAGCAGCCGCGGUAAUACGUAGGUGGCAAGCGUUGUCCGGAUUUAUUGGGCGUAAAGCGAGCGCAGGCGGAAUGAUAAGUCUGAUGUGAAAGCCCACGGCUCAACCGUGGAACUGCAUCGGAAACUGUCAUUCUUGAGUGCAGAAGAGGAGAGUGGAAUUCCAUGUGUAGCUGUGGAAUGCGUAGAUAUAUGGAAGAACACCAGUGGCGAAGGCGGCUCUCUGGUCUGCAACUGACGCUGAGGCUCGAAAGCAUGGGUAGCGAACAGG